GUGUGUGGAGGAACAGGUCCUGUUCUCGCUGUUGUUACUCCCACAUAGGCAGACUGUAAUUGAUUAUGUGUGGGUAGGGCCCUAUUGAAAUUCAGGAGAUUCUGCAGUAGUGCGGGGUUCUUUUUGUGAAAGUUCAGUUGCAAGAUCAGGACCCCACUGUGACUCCUAACUGUGAAUUCUGUCAGUGUAUCAUUGAUUGUGCUGGAACCUGCCUUUUGGGAUAAUUACCAAAUACUAUAUUCCUCAAAACUUCUUAAUGGCACUGAGGCUUUGUGGAUAGUUGGUCACAUGAGAAAAUUAAGCUGUCUACUUUACCUGUAGUGCUGACCUAUUGUGAUAGUUGUUUUUAUGGCUUGCAUCAAGUGUGAAGCAUUCAAAGCCAUGUGUCAAAGUCUGGACAAUGGAGUGUCCAGGGCCAUCAAUAUGACAGCUUCUACGCCGACGUUUUCCCUGUGCCAAAGUCACUUAAGGAGCAUGUUUCCCGGCGAGAGACCGGCCCCGCGUCCCGGCUCGCUUUCGGAGGGGUGUCCCGGACUCGAAUCAGGGGUGUAACUUCACAGACACCCCACGCUUACAAAUACGCUUCGUCUCUCCCACGAGAAAUCGCUUCUCGGGCGUACAGUAAGCGCUUAAAACGUCAGAAAACGUCAUAAACGCAAACUAAUCGGCAUCGUGUCAACCACACCGGUGCUGGGGCGUGUGAGUUGGAUUUAACUUUCGAAGUGUUUAGUCUUGGGCUCGGCGGGGCUCCGCACGCCCCCC
rnacentral:lncRNA from 1 species